CUCCGUUUCCUCAUCCUCAAAUUGAUUAUUAUAGGAUUUUGGAUGUUCUCAAUAGCACUGAUAAACCUUUAUUUCUCUCUCUCGGCGACAGUCUUAUCGGAGAUUAGGCCGAAAUGGCGACUGCAUAGUCGAUUAGUGCAAGAGAUCGAUCCAAGAUUCCGGAGCUGGUCAUUAGAAACAUCACUUCCUCUUGAUUCAUAAGCAAGCGCACAUGCAAAUCAUCAGCAAACCCAUGAUCAAGUUUGUAACUCAGGUUUCAAAAAAAUACCAAUCUUAGUCCUCCUUGAAACAUAUGAAGAACACAACAGUAGCUGCUUCAGUAUCCUCUGAAGAGUUGGUCUUUCAAUUGGUCCGCAACUGCGUCGAGCCGUUGGGAAAGUCAAAGAAUUUGAGAGAUUUCCAUCAAGAUUCACUGUCGAUCGGCUUCCAUAGGAAGAGCUCACCGCCGCCAAAUCACCAUCUACCCCCGCCGUUAAUGGUGUUUCUGUUCAUCUCAGCUUUUGAGUGAUCGAAAGUUUUCACCUUUUUAUUAAAAUAUGAUUCAAUCGUGAAUCUUGGGAAUAUCUGUUAGAUGAAGAAGCUCGGAGAACAACGAACGAUGAUAGUGUUUUAGAAGAACGAGACCCACAAUAUGAUACAAUGUUGAACCAAAUGGUGGGGAGAAUAAAGGCUAAACCAGGAAGCAAAGCUGAGAUGGGAGAGGUUAGUAGUGUGUAACAAGUCUAUGCUUUUUGAGUUUUUGAUAUUGGUUUGACUACCUUCAUUGAUAGUUAAUGUAAUUGUUUCUGACUUCUGAGAAUGUUCUUGGAAAAUCCUUUGUGUUGUCUUGAAGUCACAUCUUGGGAACAUUUGUUUUCAUUAACGAUUUCUUUAGGUGAAGAAUUCAAAAUGUUCAUGAGCUGCAGAGUUAGUUCAUAAUUUUGCUGAAGAAAGUUUCCACGGCUAUCGCUUCUGUCAUUUAUGACUCAGUGAACUUCUCCUACUUUUUUUUUGAUUUUGACGAUGAUGAUAUAAAUGUGCAUUUUUCCCAAGAUGAGAUUUCACGAGUUGGGGCCUGCAGUAUUGUCAAUGUCAAGAAUCAAUAUGUCAGGCCUUCUAAUGAAGAUCCACUUCAAGCUUUAAUCCAGGACAUGUUUUUGGAUAAAGCAGAAUUCAGUCUCCUUCUUUUCAGUUAUUAUAUUUGCAUGAUCGAAUUGAAAGUUUUCAACUUUAGCUGAAACAAAUCUCAAACCGCAACGCACAAAAAGUCACAAGAUAAGAAUCUGAGGAGAGAGAAGGGCCUGAGGAAUCCAAAAAAUCUGAGGAGAGAGAAGGGCCUGAGGAAUCUGAAACUGGAGCCGCUUGAGUCCAGAGCUAGGGGAAAGAGAAUGUGAACCGGUUGAUAAUGAUCGUCCAACGACAGUUUGAUCUAGAGACCAUAUAAGCUUUACUCAGAUCUCUUCUCUCUGUCUAUGCUUUACGGUUCUGUCAUUUGUGGAGGAAGGGAGUAAUGAUUACCCUCGGAUUUGGAGUUUAUUUACGUCUUUGCCAUCUGAUUUUAGCUUUACGUUUCUCUCUUUCUGGCAGACCUCACCAACUGCAGAGAAAUUUAAGGUUGAGUGUUUUGAUGAAGCCUGAGCUUGGUGGGGACUGGAUACAUUCUCUUUUUGCAGUAUAUAUGAAGAGGGAUCGUUUUUAGACCGGUCCAUCAAGUAUUUCUCUGAUUGCAAUUGGUUUAAAUGAAAUCAAGAAUAGAGGCUUACACCGAGGUAGAGGAAAUGACAUGUUUGUAAUGUGGUUGGUCAUUUUUUAUUUAUCUAUUUGUUAGGUUUUUCAGAAGAGAGAGUACUAGAGAAGCAAAAGAAACAUGAAGUUUUGUUAGGAUUAUUGAAAGCAGAAAUUAUCUGCAAGUCAAACAGCGUAUGGGUUACUCAGGAUUUUCAAACAUUUUGUUAUGAACUUUAGUUACUUCGUAUCAAAUACCAUGUUAAAUUUUAGGGUUAUCAUUCUUGGAUUCUA